rnacentral:snRNA from 1 species
GUGCUCACUUCAGCAGCACAUCUACUAAAACUGGAACGAUACAGAGAAGAUUAGCAUGGUCCCUGUGCAAGGAUGGCAUGCAAAUUCAUGAAGCAUUCCAUAUUUUU